AUCUUGGAAGUUGCUCCUGAAACUUUCUGCCAGUUAAUAACAAUGGUUUUAAAUAAUUCACAAUGGUUCUAACCAUGAAGUUACUUCAAUCAGACUCCUUCACAGUUGAGAAAUGCUUUGAUAUGAGCAAGGUGUCUUAAAUGUUAGCUGUGCAAUCAGAGCUCUCAAAAACAAAGCAGGGCUCACAUGAUGUUUUUAUAUAUUUGUCAUACACGUUUAGAUUUAAGAACCACAUUUAAUAUGAUAAAAUGUUUUUUGAGUUUGUUUUCCCCUUUCAUUAGCUAUGCAAAACCGCCUAAUCAAUGGAAGUCAAGACAGACUUCAAGGGAAUCCGCAUACAGUGAUUUAUUUCUACUUUUGAUGCUGGAGACGUCGAUAAUGAACUGGCGCAAAUCGAAUAUGUCGAAGACAUCUACAAACUCUACAAACUUGUAGAGGUAAAACUUAAAAGAUUGUUUAUAUAGUUUUCUUGAGUUUCUUAACGUGGAUUGUCAAAAAAGUCACAAAACUGGGUUAAAAUUGCACUUUUCUUGAAUUUCUUGAUGUGGGUAGUAAAUAAUAUGGGUUGAUUUACCUUUUUAUUGAAUUUGUGUUAAAUUUACUAUUUUAUUAAGUUUCUUGAAGUGGGUUGUCAAAAAAAAAUCACAAAAUUGGGUUAAAUUUACAGUUUUCUUUAAUUGAUGUGGGUUGUUAAAAAAGUCAUAAAAUUUGGGUUAAUUUACAGUUUUCUUGAAUUUCUUGAUGUUGUAUUAAGUAUCUUGAUGUGGGUUGUUAAAAAAGUCACAAACUUGGAUUAAUAUAUUGUUUUCUUGAUGUGGGUUGUCGACGAGAAAGAGAGGCCCGAAUCAUCGCGAUCGCGGAACAAGAAGCCUCAGUCUUCACUUACUUCUACACUCACUGCCAGGAGCAAAGCUGCCUGUGGACUGAACUAUAAACCGAAAAACAUUGUCGAUAUUAAUGCUGGAGAUGUCGAUAAUGAACUGGCGCAAGGCGAAUAUGUCGAAGUCAUCUACAAAUUCUACAAACUUGUAGAGCCUCAAUUGGCAGCAUCAGCUUUGCAAGAAUCCACGUCCCAAUCCUGAUAUUAAAACUCUGUUUAUCGAUCAUACUUGUAUUCUAACAAUGGGGGUUGGGGUCCUCCCCCUACCAACAGUUCCCUUGCUGGACCUAUUCGGCUAUUCCUAAAGCUGGUGUAUUUCGUCCUAUUAGAGCAUAUGGUGUAAGUGUAGUUAAAUGUUCCAAUCU